UGCCAGCAGCCGCGGUAAUACGUAGGUGGCGAGCGUUAUCCGGAAUUACUGGGCGUAAAGCGCAAGCAGGCGGCCUUGCAAGUCUGACGUGAAAUCUCUUGGCUUAACCGGGAGGGGUCGUUGGAAACUGUGAGGCUUGAGGCGAUGAGAGGGGCAUGGAAUUCCCGGUGUAGUGGUGGAAUGCGUAGAUAUCGGGAGGAACACCAGAGGCGAAAGCGGUGCCCUGGCAUUGGCCUGACGCUCAUGUGCGAAAGCGUGGGGAGCGAACGGGAUUAGAUACCCCGGUAGUCCACGCCGUAAACGAUGAAUACUGGGUGUAGGCGGGGUUAGAGCCGUCUGUGCCGAAGCAAACGCGUUAAGUAUUCCGCCUGGGGAGUACGGCCGCAAGGCUAAAACUCAAAUAAAUUGACGG
rnacentral:rRNA from 1 species